UUUUUUUUUUUUUUUUUUUUUUUUUUUUUUUUUUUUUUAACUCUUUCUGAAGACGCGGUUGCAAACCGCCAAUAACAAAACAAGGAACAAGGAAUAGUGUUGCAAAUCCAUUUCACGCACAAAUAAAAGCUAAGAUCAUUAACACUGACUAGUAAUUGUCAAGACUAUAUAAUACUAAGAAAACAAAAAGGAGCUAU
rnacentral:ribozyme from 16 species